UUCUUUUUUUUUUUUUUUUUUUUUGGCUUUGGAGACAGGGUUUCUCUGCAGUUCUUGCUGUCAUAGAGAUCACUCUCUAGUCUGUAGACUGGCCCCAAACUCAGAGAUCCUCCUGCCUCUACCUCCUGAGUGCUGGGAUUAAGGGAAUGUGCCAACACACACCAGCACAAAAGAAUCUCUUGAGCUCAGAAAUUCAGGCCUAGGGUAAGCAAAGUAGCAGGACCCCAUCUCCUGAACGAAUAAGCAAAUAUCGAAAUCCAUUUUCUUGCUAAGGGUUAAUAAUUAUCAGAUCUUCCAAAAGAGGAGGGAUGUUGGUAGAUUAUUUCUCAGAUAAGGUGCUGUAUUAGUAUGCAGGUUUUUAAUUGGUUUGUUGGGUUUGCUGUUAUGAUAUUACAGGCUAGGUAAAUUACAGGGAAAAGAUGUUUGUGUAGGCUUAUGGUUACGGAGGUGUGUGGUCUCUGUAAGUGGGUCCACCUCCUUAGCACAUGCCCACUUUUCCUGAAAUGAUGGUCAUAGCUUUCCAAUUCUAACCUCCCGGGGCUUUUUACAGGGGGGGGGUCUGACUUUUUAGCUUAUUAUUUUAUGAAUAUUUUUCCUGCAUGUAUGUGUCCCUUGUGCCCAAGGAAGACAUCAAAGAAAGGUUCUCUGGAUCUAGAGUUACAAACAGUUGUUAGCCACCAUACAAAUGUUAGGAACUGAACCCAGGUCCUCUGGAAGAGCAACCUGAGCCAUCUCUCUAGCUCUUGUUUUUUGGUUUUUUGUUUUGUUUUGGGUUUGUUUGGGGGUUUUUGGUUGGUUGGUUGGUUGGUUGGGUUUUUUUGUUUGUUUGUUUGUUUGUUUUUGUUUUUUUGUGAGACAGGGUUUCUCUGUGUAGCCCUGGCUAUCCUGGAACUCCCUCUGUAAACCAGGCUGGCCUCAAACUCAGAAAUUGGCCUGCCUCUGCCUCCCAAGUGUCGGGAUUAAAGGCGUGCGCCACCACGCCUGGCCUAAAUCCCAAUUUCUAAAUAACGAAUCUCUGGAUGAAAAUGUCACAUGUAUAAAAACAAAUGAUUAUGUGAAAAUCCUAUUUAUAAAUUAUGAUUUUUACAGCCAGGUAUGGUAGCAAUCCUAACACUUGGAUAGUGGCUAAAACAGGGGGUUUCCCAUGAGUUUGAGUCUAGCCUGAGCAACAUAGCAAGACUUUCUCAUAACAAAAAGAAUAGCUGGAGGCACAGCUCAGUGGUUAAGAGCACUGACUGUUCUUCUAGGGGUCUGGGGUUUGAUUACCAGCAACUAGUGACUAACAACCACCUGUACUACAAGCCCAGUUCCGGUGGAUCCAACAAUCUCUUCUGGCCUCCAUGAACACAUAGCACAGCUGUGGUACACAGGCAUACAUGCAGGCAAAACACCAGCACACAUAAAAAAUUAACAAAAUGAAACACCACCAAAAAAGAGAAAUUGUUUUUCAAAAUACAUGUGAUGUAAAAUGUCGCCUAUGGUUUACUUUCAGCAGGUGGUUGCAUUUUGUUUCUGAAUCCCUGCUUCGGAGACAGCCAUGGCAGCCCGAGUUCUUGUCAUCGGUAGCGGGGGAAGGGAACAUACCCUGGCCUGGAAGCUCGCACAGUCUCCUCAGGUCAAGCAAGUGUUGGUUGCCCCAGGAAACGCAGGCACUGCGUGCGCUGGGAAGAUCUCCAAUGCUGGUAAUUAUGUUUCAAAAUGGGGAGCGGUGGUUAAUAUUUGAUAAUAAAAGACGGCUCACAUAUGCUCUUUAGUAAGGUGUGUUUCUAUUUAAGUUUGAAUGCAUUCUAAGUUUACAUUUUUUGAGGUAUUAACGUGAAUUCUCAGUGUGUGAGGGGAACAAAGCUUAGUGUCCCUUAAGCCUUCUGAGCCACUGUGACCGAAAAGACAACACGUGCACGGUGGGGACUGGAGGUGUUGUAGAUUCAUGUACAGAGUCGUGAAUGGGGCUGUCGACUGUGGAGGCUGGUCCCAUUGAUAAUCGGUUCAUAGACUAAACAGUUUGCAGGAUGUAGGGUAGAACCAAGCUCCCCAUCUUACCCUUACAAAGACCUACCUGUCUUGUUUCACCUUGUUUGUACAAUAGCCAAUGCCCCACAUCAUAUUUAUGAAGGGAAUCAGGAGAAAGACAGAAAUAAUAAGGAAACACCCCCUUCUCUGAGGCGCUUUGUCUAGAGACAAGGUAUUGUGUGCUUAUUAGAGAAGUGGCUCGUCUGUGUCUGUGCACUUGGAGUUGUAGGGACACCCAUCAGAAUCACCCAGGAUGAUCCUAAACUAACUGCCAUUGGCAGCAGCUGAGGAGAAGGGGUGCCCUCACUUGUUGCUUCUGCUGUACUGAUGGAGUUAGUCCAACUAGGCCCAGUUGUGUUUUGAUGGAGAGGCUAGCUUUCUCUGGACAUGGAGAAGAGUUUUCUUACAUAGUUUUCUUGCUUUCUUUGCUUAAACAGCUCAAAGACCCUUCCUGACUCGACCAGAACUAGCCUCCCAGUUUGCCUUAGAGCAGAUUUGUUUGCUUUGUCCGUAUUUGCUAUGGCUAGUAUUAACGCAAUAUAUUAUUAGUAUCAUAAGAUUAAGGGUCCUAGUUUGUUGUAACAUCUUAAUCGCAGGGCUUACCACAGUACCUAAUACACAGUUGAUUUUCAAUAAACUUUGAGUGACGUUUAAAGGACGUUUCUGAGUGUAUUGUCUGGGCUUGUCUGAUUACUCUGUGACCAACACUGGGACAGGGGCAGUCGCAUUAUAAUAUUGAGAGUCACUCAACUGCUGCAAAGCUUUCUUGAACCUAAUGCACUAUUUGGAGGUUCUCAUGGUGAAAUUACUAACUGUACCAACAGAAGCAAACCAACAAUUAACUUGGUUUUUAAUUACCUUACUAAGGCUAGUGCUUAGUUUAUUUCAUUAACCGGGGCUAUUUUUGCACAUGUGUGAGUUUAUAUUUUCUGCUUGCAGCUGUCUCUGUCAAUGAUCACAGUGCCCUCGCUCAGUUCUGCAAGGAUGAAAAGAUUGAACUCGUAGUUGUCGGACCAGAGGCCCCUCUGGCUGCAGGUAACCUUGUGUCUCACUGUUAGAACAUACACGGGGCCCACAGAAGACUAGAGAUCACUGCAUCUGACUCGCUUGUCCACGAGGAUUUGUAAUAAAAUACAUGAGAAGAGGAGCUUUCAUCCCUUAAAGUUUAAUCUAAUCAUAAUUCAUAUUUGGUCUGAGUCCAUGGAGACCCUGGACCACCUAGACUUCUGUUUGGUUCUGUAGGAAUUGUUGGGGACCUGACCUCUGCAGGAGUACGAUGCUUUGGCCCCACAGCACAAGCAGCUCAAUUAGAGUCCAGUAAGAAGUUUGCUAAAGAGUUUAUGGACCGCCAUGAAAUCCCAACUGCACAGUGGAGAGCAUUCACCAACCCUGAAGAUGCCUGCAGCUUUAUUACAAGGUGGGCAAAAAGUCACCUUUAAAGGGCAGGUGUUUUAUAAAGUCACUUUAGUGGUUAAAAAAAAAAAAAAAAAAAAGUUGCCAGGCAGCCCUUGGGAGGCAGAGGCAAGUGAAUCUCUUGAGUUUGAGGCCACAGAGUGAGUUUCAGGACAGCCAGGGCUACACAGAAAAACCAUGUCU
rnacentral:lncRNA from 1 species